CCUCAGAAGCAACAGGGCUGUAUGCCUCAAAUAAAUAAAGAGAUGUCUCGGCAUCACCACUGACAAGCCUGAUGCUGCUGAAGUUGAGAAUUCAGGCGAGGUCGAUUCCACUGCAUCAUCUGGGAAUUCUAUUGCUUCAGCGACGCUUGUUAACGUGUCACCUUCUAGUCGUACCCAAGAAGUUACAGCAGAGAGAAUGUGAACCAUCUGCUGUAAACACAAUAGUUGACAGCCACUAAAUACAGGCCAGGCACUACAAAACACUACAGGACCUUUACAAGAAGCCAAAGCCAAAUACAUUUGCAGUUACCCAGCUCCUUGAUCAUGAAUUUAAUGCACAGAUGUCAUUAAUAGAUUCUAUGGGAGGCUUACCCAUGCUUUAAAGAACUGGAUCAGUGAAAAAUGCCAUCUCCAUGUUUAGAGCUCUGCCAUCCAUGUUUACUUCACUUUCUCUACACCCAAAAAAUUUGGGAAACAAAACAUGACGCAUUAGUUCAUGUCCUUAAGACCUCCGAGAAUCCUGAUGCCUUUCUACAGCAAGGACCACUGUCUAGCCUUGUCCUUAUUGUCGACCAAGAUAACUGUAUGCUGGCUAUUGGAAGUGAGCCUGUGACAACUUUCCCUCAAGAAAUGUUGCAUGAAGGUAUCACGUACCUUAUGGCAUACCAUUAUGCACUACAUCUAACAUAUCUUAAGUGCAUUGCCGUUGUUCUCUCUGUAAUUUAAACUGAAAUAUUACUGGACACAAUUCAUGAGAAGGAUGUAACUGUGUCAUACAGGAAAGCCUUAGCUGAAUGGAAACAGCUUAUUGGUCAGUAAUCACUGUGGCACUACUUAAGCCUGGCCAACAUAAUUAACUUGAUACAUUUUGAAGCUAAAUGAUUGGUUAAGUGUAACUGUAAAUUAGGUAAAGUGUGAUUUAGAAACCAUUAAUAGAAAGUGUACAUACAUUCCAAAUAAUUUGAAGGGAAAAUACAAAAAUGCUAGAAGAAAAAUCGUGUGAGCCAAAUGUAGAA